CAUUUCAGUGAUCAAAUUUUAAGGUAUUUGAGGCUAGAUCCCACUAAUAACCCUUCAUAAAUAAUUAAUUAUUGUGGCAGGUCCCCACAAAGUAAUUUUGGUUUUGUACCCUGUAUACAUAAAUUCAAUCCCUCAAAAUUUUUUUAAUUGCACAGAACAAAAGACUGAUGGAACAAGAGAGCUUCAGGGGCAGGGGGCAGAUGACUUUGCUUCAUGGAGUGAAAUUAGACUGCCACUUAAGAUACAAACCAAGCUCUGAAUAAACAGCUCAAUUGGAUGAAACAGUUCACCUGAAAUGAAGGAAAAAGCUCUCCCUCAAUCUGAGCAAAAGAACACUUUUAAAAGGCAUUAAUAAAAAAGGGUAUAAUAAAACUAAAAGGUAUGGC
rnacentral:lncRNA from 1 species